UGUGUUUCACCAAAAACCGCCCCGCAAAUAUAUAAGGCGAGAGACACAGUUAAAGAAUAAGAAAAUAUUCGCAAAAGGGCCGCGUAUUUAUACAUUUCAAG
rnacentral:ribozyme from 1 species